UACGGAGGGUGCAAGCGUUAUCCGGAUUCACUGGGUUUAAAGGGUGCGUAGGUGGCGUGGUAAGUCAGAUGUGAAAUCCCCAGGCUCAACUUGGGAACUGCAUCCGAUACUGGAUGGCUUGAAUUCGGGAGAGGGAUGCAGAAUUCCAGGUGUAGCGGUGAAAUGCGUAGAUAUCUGGAGGAAUACCGGUGGCGAAGGCGGCAUCCGGACCGACAUUGACGCUGAGGAGCGAAAGCUAGGGGAGCAAACGGG
rnacentral:rRNA from 1 species